AGAGUUUGAUCCUGGCUCAGGACGAACGCUGGCGGCGUGCCUAAUACAUGCAAGUCGAACGAAGCUUUCUUUCACCGAGUGCUUGCAUUCACCGAAAGAAGCUUAGUGGCGAACGGGUGAGUAACACGUAGGCAACCUGCCCAAAAGAGGGGGAUAACACUUGGAAACAGGUGCUAAUACCGCAUAACCAUGAACACCGCAUGAUGUUCGUGUAAAAGACGGCUUUUGCUGUCACUUUUGGAUGGGCCUGCGGCGUAUUAACUUGUUGGUGGGCUAACGGCCUACCAAGGUGAUGAUACGUAGCCGAACUGAGAGGUUGAUCGGCCACAUUGGGACUGAGACACGGCCCAAACUCCUACGGGAGGCAGCAGUAGGGAAUCUUCCACAAUGGACGAAAGUCUGAUGGAGCAACGCCGCGUGAAUGAAGAAGGCCUUCGGGUCGUAAAAUUCUGUUGUCAGAGAAGAAUGUGCGUGAGAGUAACUGUUCACGUAUUGACGGUAUCUGACCAGAAAGCCACGGCUAACUACGUGCCAGCAGCCGCGGUAAUACGUAGGUGGCAAGCGUUGUCCGGAUUUAUUGGGCGUAAAGGGAACGCAGGCGGUCUUUUAAGUCUGAUGUGAAAGCCUUCGGCUUAACCGAAGUAGUGCAUUGGAAACUGGAAGACUUGAGUGCAGAAGAGGAGAGUGGAACUCCAUGUGUAGCGGUGAAAUGCGUAGAUAUAUGGAAGAACACCAGUGGCGAAAGCGGCUCUCUGGUCUGUAACUGACGCUGAGGUUCGAAAGCGUGGGUAGCAAACAGGAUUAGAUACCCUGGUAGUCCACGCCGUAAACGAUGAGUGCUAAGUGUUGGAGGGUUUCCGCCCUUCAGUGCUGCAGCUAACGCAUUAAGCACUCCGCCUGGGGAGUACGGUCGCAAGACUGAAACUCAAAGGAAUUGACGGGGGCCCGCACAAGCGGUGGAGCAUGUGGUUUAAUUCGAAGCAACGCGAAGAACCUUACCAGGUCUUGACAUCUUCAGACAAUUCCAGAGAUGGAACGUUCCCUUCGGGGACAGAAUGACAGGUGGUGCAUGGUUGUCGUCAGCUCGUGUCGUGAGAUGUUGGGUUAAGUCCCGCAACGAGCGCAACCCUUAUUGUCAGUUGCCAUCAUUAAGUUGGGCACUCUGGCGAGACUGCCGGUGACAAACCGGAGGAAGGUGGGGAUGACGUCAAAUCAUCAUGCCCCUUAUGACCUGGGCUACACACGUGCUACAACGGACGGUACAACGAGUCGCUAACUCGCGAGGGCAAGCUAAUCUCUUAAAGCCGUUCCCAGUUCGGAUUGCAGGCUGCAACUCGCCUGCAUGAAGUCGGAAUCGCUAGUAAUCGCGAAUCAGCAUGUCGCGGUGAAUACGUUCCCGGGCCUUGUACACACCGCCCGUCACACCAUGAGAGUUUGUAACACCCAAAGUCGGUGGGGUAACCUUUUGGAGCCAGCCGCCUAAGGUGGGACAGAUGAUUGGGGUGAAGUCGAAACAAGGUA
rnacentral:rRNA from 1 species